GAGAGAGAGAGAGAGAGAGAGAGAGAGAGAGCGAGGAAAGUGGUGAUUUCUUGGACAGUUGGGUUGUUGCUCAGCAGUGUGUGUAUUUCUUGCUUCAACACCUGGGUGUUCUCAGUGCUAUCGUGUCUAUGAUAGUCCAAAGUCCAAACUCAUCCUCUCCUUACAACAUAGCAAGAGUUUUCAUCACUGCUUUAAGCUAUAGCUUCAGCAUCAAGAAAAUCGGAAAUCACUUGUUUUUGUGCCCGUGAGGCAUAAGCGCCUCCAGCGGUUGCUGCUUCGAUUCGGAUUGUGAGAGAGAAUAAUUACUGUGCUUUUUGUUUAGGUAAAGAUGGAUGACCCUAAUUGUGUUAGAGAAAAGAACAAGAGCUGCUAGGGAUUCCUUGCCAAACUUUUGGCAUCAUUUGGCAAUAGGUCCAGAAGAGAAUGUAAGGAAACAAUUAAGGAGGUGUAUUGCAGCCUAGGUCUAAGUUAUGGUUUGGGUUAAUUAAGAGGUCCAAUGCAAUUUCAUGUCCAGUUUCGACUUCAUGUUUAAUUCCAGCUUUACAGAAAAAAAAAGCUCCUUUCAAUCACAAGUUGGACUAGAAUCUCUCAUCUUUGAUUAUUAUACAUAGUGGAAUAAAUUUUCUUUUCUAUUACUUAUGUAUGUGUGUGAAAACGUUUAUGACUAUCAAAUGAUUCACCUACAAGAUCCACAAAAGUUGGAAGGAGUUCUUUCUCCUUCUCAUUUAGAGGACAUGGAAUUUGCUCAAUCUCUAGGCAGAACAGAGUGAACAUAAAGAAAUGUCAGUUUAUUUGCUGGGUUAUUUUUAAGUUCUCUCAGUAUGUGUAAUUUCUCCUGGACAACUUAGCUCAAUUACCAAUGAUGCUGGGUUUCAUUAAAUAAACUUUUAGUUCAAGUCUCAACUGUGAAAUGGUAAUGUGAUUGAGGUAUAAAAGCUAUUAUAGCAUCAUUUUGCUAAUACAUCCCAUCAGCCAAUUUUUAUUGAGGAAAUCAGUUUCCUUAUAGUUUAACACUUUAAUGAGUUUUGCUUGAAUUGAUGGUUAGAGAACCAGCGGAUUGAAAAAUAGAACCAAAGUAGUUUAAUGAUUAUUUUUCCCUCUCUCUCCAUGCAUUAUCGUUACUGCAAUCUGAGAUUAGUGGGAUGCAUAACUUUAUUCAAGAAAGUAUAUAUUAGUAUUGCUGCUAUAACUAUUGAUGGUUAUUAUUACUUCAAGUUUCUCAUUGCAAACCCUUCUUUUUGUAUUAAAUACCAGUUUAUCACUAUUUCCUCAAGUAUUUAUCUAUCCACCCGAUCUAGAAUUUAUUUUC